GCUCCCGUAGUUCAGCUGGAUAGAACAACGGACUUCUAAUCCGUAGGUCGCAGGUUCGACUCCUGCCGGGGGCACCA
rnacentral:tRNA from 1 species